UGGCCAAUUUUUAUAUGUAUGUGACCCAUUGAAUUCUACAUCUAACCAGUAGUAGGUCUAGAUGCAAGUUGACCUAAUUUGAUUAGACUUCGAUCUAACCGAUUUAGGUCCAAUCGAGCUAACCCAAGCUCAACAAUUAGAACCGUUUCUACUUCAUGAUCAAAUUAAACUCUUUAAUUCAAUUAGAUCUACAAGUCAAGAUUG
rnacentral:lncRNA from 1 species